rnacentral:rRNA from 1 species
AAUGAACGCUGGCGGCAGGCCUAACACAUGCAAGUCGAACGAGUGGCAGACGGGUGAGUAAGGUCUGGGAAUCUGCCUGAUGGAGGGGGAUAACGACUGGCAACGGUAGCUAAUACCGCAUACCAUCGGAUGUGCCCAGAGGGGAUUAGCUAGUAGGUGGGGUAAAGGCUCACCUGGGCGACGAUCCCUAGGGGGUCUGAGAGGAUGACCAGCAACACUGGAACUGAGACACGGUCCAGACGCCUCCGGGAGGCAGCAGUGGGGAAUAUUGCACAAUGGGCGCAAGCCUGAUGCAGCCAUGCCGCGUGGAUGAGGAAGGCCUUCGGGUUGUAAAGUACUUUCAGCGGGGAGGCGUUACCCGCAGAAGAAGCACCGGCUAACUCCGUGCCAGCCGCCGCGGUAAUAC